UACGUAGGUGGCAAGCGUUGUCCGGAUUUACUGGGCGUAAAGAGCGCGCAGGCGGUCGUUCAAGUCGCGUGUGAAAGCCCCCGGCUCAACUGGGGAGGGUCACGCGAUACUGAUCGACUCGAAGGCAGGAGAGGGUAGUGGAAUUCCGAGUGUAGUGGUGAAAUGCGUAGAUAUCGGGAGGAACACCAGUGGCGAAGGCGACUACCUGGCCUGUUCUUGACGCUGAGGCGCGAAAGCUAGGGGAGCAAACGGG
rnacentral:rRNA from 1 species